rnacentral:rRNA from 1 species
GAUGAACGCUAGCGGCAGGCUUAAUACAUGCAAGUCGUGGGGCAGCAGGACUGUAGCACUACAGUUGCUGGCGACCGGCAAACGGGUGCGGAACACGUACGCAACUUACCCUGAACUGGGGGAUAGCCCGGGGAAACCCGGAUUAAUACCCCGUAAUAUAAUGGAGUGGCAUCACUUUAUUAUUAAAGCUCCGGCGGUUCGGGAUGGGCGUGCGGCUGAUUAGGUAGUUGGUUGAGGUAACGGCUCACCAAGCCUACGAUCAGUAACUGGUGUGAGAGCACGACCAGUCACACGGGCACUGAGACACGGGCCCGACUCCUACGGGAGGCAGCAGUAAGGAAUAUUGGGCAAUGGAGGCAACUCUGACCCAGCCAUGCCGCGUGGAGGAUGAAGGCCCUCUGGGUUGUAAACUUCUUUUAUGGGGGACGAAACCUGUGUAUUCUUACGCAGUUGACGGUACCCUAGGAAUAAGCACCGGCUAACUCCGUG